UUCAGGAAUAUUUCUUCUGCAACUCUACCUCCACUACCUGGUCAGCAAACAUUCAUUACAUCAGAUCAAUAUUUUCUUCCUUUUGAGUUGGCUUGUUAAACAAAAUGUGCCAGGAUUGUCACCAUUGCACUUGACUGUAUACAAAAACUCAUUGCUUAUGGUCAUAUUGUUCGCGAUACACCAGACUCCAUUAAACCAGAGAGGCGUUUAAUUGACAGAAUUAUCGAGACUAUUUCUAUUUGCUUUACUGGUAUAAAUACUGAUGUAAACGUUCAAAUACAAAUUAUAAAGGUAUUUAUAAAAGUAAUGUC